rnacentral:rRNA from 1 species
UGGGGAAUCUUCCACAAUGGGCGAAAGCCUGAUGGAGCGACGCCGCGUGAGAGAAGAAGGCCUUCGGGUUGUAAAUCUCUGUCUUCGGGGAAGAAUGUACCUAAUGUGAAUAAUGUUGGGUAAUGACGGUACUCGAGGAGGAAGCCACGGCUAACUACGUGCCAGCAGCCGCGGUAAUACGUAGGUGGCGAGCGUUGUCCGGAAUUAUUGGGCGUAAAGCGCGCGCAGGUGGUUAUACAAGUCUCAUUUAAAAGUGCUGAGCUCAACUCAGUGAUGGGUGAGAAACUGUAUGACUUGAGUGCAGGAGGGGUAGGCGGAAUUCCUAGUGUAGCGGUGAAAUGCGUAGAUAUUAGGAGGAACACCAGUGGCGAAGGCGGCCUACUGGACUGCAACUGACACUGAGGCGCGAAAGCCAGGGGAGCAAACG